rnacentral:rRNA from 1 species
GAGUAACCUGCCCUUAACUCUGGGAUAAGCCUUGGAAACGAGGUCUAAUACUGGAUAUUGACAUUUCACCGCAUGGUGGUUUGUUGAAAGAUUUAUUGGUUUUGGAUGGACUCGCGGCCUAUCAGCUUGUUGGUGAGGUAAUGGCUCACCAAGGCGACGACGGGUAGCCGGCCUGAGAGGGUGACCGGCCACACUGGGACUGAGACACGGCCCAGACUCCUACGGGAGGCAGCAGUGGGGAAUAUUGCACAAUGGGCGAAAGCCUGAUGCAGCGACGCCGCGUGAGGGAUGACGGCCUUCGGGUUGUAAACCUCUUUCAGUAGGGAACAAGGCCAGCAUUUUUGUUGGUUGAGGGUACUUGCAGAAGAAGCGCCGGCUAACUACGUGCC